rnacentral:rRNA from 1 species
UACGGAGGGGGUUAGCGUUGUUCGGAAUUACUGGGCGUAAAGCGCACGUAGGCGGAUCAGAAAGUUGGGGGUGAAAUCCCGGGGCUCAACCCCGGAACGGCCUCCAAAACUCCUGGUCUUGAGUUCGAGAGAGGUGAGUGGAAUUCCGAGUGUAGAGGUGAAAUUCGUAGAUAUUCGGAGGAACACCAGUGGCAAAGGCGGCUCACUGGCUCGAUACUGACGCUGAGGUGCGAAAGUGUGGGGAGCAAACAGGAUUAGAUACCCUGGUAGUCCCUGAGCGGGCU